AACGCACCUUGCGCUCCUUGGUAUUCCGAGGAGCAUGCCUGUUUGAGUGUCAUUAAAUUCUCAACCUCACCGGUUUUCUGAACCGUUCUCCGAGGCUUGGAUGUGGGGGUCUGUGCAGGUCGCCUCAGCGCGGUCUGCUCCCCUGAAAUGCAUUAGCGAGAUUCAUUCUGGACCUCCGUCUAUCGGUGUGAUAAUUAUCUACGUCGUUGACUUGGUUCGGACUCGCUUCUAACCGUCCGCGAGGACAACAUACUUGACAAUUUGACCUCAAAUCAGGUAGGACUACCCGCUGAACUUAA
rnacentral:misc_RNA from 1 species